UUUGCAAUAUAUAUCGCUAAUUUGCGAUUAUUUUCUAAUUUUACUGCAGUUUUAAUUUAAAUUCAGCCGUUUAGUGGGCCGGCUAUAAUUGUAGUUGUGAUCGUUAUAAAAUAUAUUAAUAUCAACAACAAUAGUAUAAUCUAAUUAGCACCAGCCAAUCAAAUGACAGAUUUAAAAAUCGUUUGUCUAAUCGGCCAAUCAGCGCUCAGUCCAGAUUCUGGACUGAACAACCAGGCAAAAUGCCACUUUUGUGUCAGGCCGUACUUUUCUCCCCUUCGCCCACGAUCAGGCGUGCCUGUGCCCUAAAAAGUACGGCCUGAUACUCAGGUUAGUUCAAAUGCAUCUGAUUGGUUAAUCGGAUAGUUCAAACGCGUCUGAUUGGUUAAUGGCGCCUAAUUUAAUGGUAGCGGUAGUGGAAGUCAAAUCUGAACCUUUCUGAUGACUUGAAGGGAGUUCACAAAUAAUUUUGCCGCGCACGUUUUCUUCUUACAGAAGUCAAGACAUGCAAGAGUCACUGUAUAUACUAGGCAAUAAAAUACACAAAUAAUCUGGUACCUUUAGUUGCCAUGGCUACCUGUUGGAUGGUUUUGUAGAUCUGCUUGAUCGAUCGGAGGUUUUGCUAUCACGUUUGUGCUGACUG
rnacentral:lncRNA from 1 species